rfam:Stegodyphus mimosarum contig117857, whole genome shotgun sequence.
UAAAUGGCUUUAUUUAAAGCCAUGCAUUGAAAAAAAAUUUUAAUUU